rnacentral:rRNA from 1 species
AACGAACGCUGGCGGCAUGCCUAACACAUGCAAGUCGAACGAGACCUUCGGGUCUAGUGGCGCACGGGUGCGUAACGCGUGGGAACCUGCCCUUAGGUACGGAAUAACUCCCCGAAAGGGGUGCUAAUACCGGAUAAUGUCUUCGGACCAAAGAUUUAUCGCCUUCGGAUGGGCCCGCGUUGGAUUAGCUAGUUGGUAGGGUAAAAGCCUACCAAGGCGACGAUCCAUAGCUGGUCUGAGAGGAUGAUCAGCCACACUGGGACUGAGACACGGCCCAGACUCCUACGGGAGGCAGCAGUGGGGAAUAUUGGACAAUGGGCGAAAGCCUGAUCCAGCAAUGCCGCGUGAGUGAUGAAGGCCUUAGGGUUGUAAAGCUCUUUUACCCGGGAUGAUAAUGACAGUACCGGGAGAAUAAGCUCCGGCUAACUCCGUG